UACGUAGGGUGCAAGCGUUGUCCGGAAUUAUUGGGCGUAAAGAGCUCGUAGGCGGUUUGUCGCGUCAGGAGUGAAAUCCAUUGGCUUAACUUGGUGGCUUGCUUUCGAUACGGGCAGACUGGAGGUAUGCAGGGGAGAACGGAAUUCCUGGUGUAGCGGUGAAAUGCGCAGAUAUCAGGAGGAACACCGGUGGCGAAGGCGGGGUCUCUGGGCCGAUACUGACGUGAGGAGCGAAAGCAUGGGAGCGAACGG
rnacentral:rRNA from 1 species